rnacentral:rRNA from 1 species
UACAGAGGGUGCUAGCGUUGUUCGGAAUCAUUGGGCGUAAAGGGCUCGUAGGCGGCCAACUAAGUCAGACGUGAAAUCCCUCGGCUUAAACCGAGGAACUGCCUGUCAAACUCGUGGCUUUGAGACCAGGAGAGGUGAGUGGAAUUCCCAGUGUAGCGGUGAAAUGCGUAGAUAUUGGGAGGAACACCAGUGGCGAAGGCGGCUCACUGGACUGGUACUGACGCUGAUGCGCGAAA